rnacentral:rRNA from 1 species
GAAAUGCGAUAAGUAAUGUGAAUUGCAGAAUUCAGUGAAUCAUCGAAUCUUUGAACGCACCUUGCGCUCCUUGGUAUUCCGAGGAGCAUGCCUGUUUGAGUGUCAUGAAAUUCUCAACCUUUCAAGCUUUUUAUUAAAAGCUAGUCAGGCUUGGAUUAUGGGAGCUUGCUGGCUUUGACAAGUCGGCUCUUCUAAAAUACAUUAGCAAGAUUUUUAAUCACUGAAUCAUCYUUGAUAUGAUAAUUAUCUAUAUUAAYGAUGACACAGUGUUUCUCGCUUCUAACUGUCUUUCAAAGACAAUUUAUUGAAACUAUUUGACCUCAAAUCAGGUAGGACUACCCGCUGAACUUAA